rnacentral:rRNA from 1 species
AUUGAACGCUGGCGGCAGGCCUAACACAUGCAAGUCGAGCGAGCGGCGGCCGGGUGAGUAAUGUCUGGGAAACUGCCUGAUGGAGGGGGUUAACUACUGGAAACGGUAGCUAAUACCGCAUACCAUCAGAGUUGCCCAGAUGGGAUUGGCUAGUUGGGGGGGUAAGGGCUCACCUAGGCGACGAUCCCUAGCUGGUCUGAGAGGAUGACCAGCAACACUGGAACUGAGACACGGGCCAGACUCCUACGGGAGGCAGCAGUGGGGAAUAUUGCACAAGGGGCGCAAGCCUGAUGCAGCCAUGCCGCGUGUGUGAAGAAGGCCGUCGGGUUGUAAAGAACUUUCAGCGGGGAGGCGUUACUCGAAGAAGAAGCACCGGCUAACUCCGUGCCAGCAGCCGCGGUAAUUC